UACAGAGGGUGCAAGCGUUGUUCGGAAUUAUUGGGCGUAAAGCGCGUGUAGGCGGCAUUGCAAGUCGGGUGUGAAAGCCCUCAGCUCAACUGAGGAAGUGCGCCCGAAACUGCAGUGCUUGAGUACCGGAGAGGAUGGCGGAAUUCCCCAAGUAGAGGUGAAAUUCGUAGAUAUGGGGAGGAACACCGGUGGCGAAGGCGGCCAUCUGGACGGUCACUGACGCUGAGACGCGAAAGCGUGGGUAGCAAACAGG
rnacentral:rRNA from 1 species